AUUGGUUUGUAUGUCAUUUUUUUAUUAAAAAAAAAUUAGUUGAAAUUUUUUUAGUAUAUUGUAGAAAUAAUUUUUCUUAUGUUUACUGUAUAGGAAUUUUAAACUAUUUUUUUAAAGAAUUUUAUUAGUACCUUUUGUAUCAGGGUGAAUUAAAUAAUUUAGGUAACUUUUUCUCCCGAAUAAAGAAGAUCAAAUAUCUUAAUAAAUUUUAAUUGUAGAAUAAAUUUUACUAAUAAGAUAUUAGUAAUUAAAUGUUAAUCGAUUUUUAUAUAUCUGGUUACUGAGGAAAUUAAUUUAAUUAAGCACCAUUAAAAAUGUAAAAUUUGAAUAUUUAUGGUGUAAAUUUAUUAGGGAUAAUCUUAAUAAAUUUACUAAAAUUCAUGCAUGAUGAAGUAUACUACCUUUGAAAUUAAGAAUUUAGUUUUUAAUAAAAUUUCUUCUUUAAAUUUUAUUUUUUAAUAUUUAGUUUUUUACUCAGUUUUUUUAAUUAAUUGAGAUUUUUUAUCAAUAAUGAUUCAAUUAGUAUAAUUAAUAGAUUAAAUAUUAUGAACUCGACAAUUCUUAUUUCCAACUGUUUAACAAAAACAUUUCCUUUAGUUUUUAUUAAAGGUAUAUCCUGCCCUAUGGAUUUUCUAAAUGGCUGCAGUAUUUUGACUGUACAAAGGUAGCAUAGUAAUUAGUUUCUUAAUUAGGAACUUGUAUGAAUGGAUUUAUGAGAUAUAUGUUUUAUUUAUUUAAAUAUUAAAAUUUUAAUUUUAGGUUAAAAUGCCUAAUAGAUUUCUUGGGACGAUAAGACCCUAUAGAACUUUAUAUUUAUAUAAAAAAUUUCUUUUAAAUUUUUAUAUUAAAUUUUUUGUUUAAAUAUUUUGCUGGGGUGGUUAGUAAAUUUUAACUUUACUUUGAUUUUUCAUAAAUAUAUGUUAUUUUUGAUCCUUUACAAGAUUAUAAGAACAAGUUACCUUAGGGAUAACAGCGUAAUUUUAGUGGGGAGUUCAUAUCUAUACUAAUUUUGCGACCUCGAUGUUGAAUUAAGAAAAAUCUAAGAAGCAGAACUCUUAGUUUUAAGUCUGUUCGACUUUUAAAUUCUUACAUGAUUUGAGUUCAAACCGGCGUGAGCCAGGUUGGUUUCUAUCUUAGAAUGUUAGGUAAGUUAUUUAGUACGAAAGGACCAAUAACUGAUACUUAUUUGUAUUUUACAUUUAAUA
rnacentral:rRNA from 1 species